rnacentral:rRNA from 1 species
GAUGAACGCUAGCGGCAGGCCUAACACAUGCAAGUCGAGGGGCAGCGUGACGGUAGCAAUACUGUUGACGGCGACCGGCGCACGGGUGCGUAACGCGUAUGCAACCUGCCUCCAACAGGGAGAUAAUCCGGAGAAAUUUGGUCUAAUAUCCCAUAAUAUACUGAACGGCAUCGUUUGGUAUUGAAAGAUUCGUUGGUUGGAGAUGGGCAUGCGUAGCAUUAGCUAGUUGGUGGGGUAACGGCCUACCAAGGCGACGAUCCAUAGCCGACCUGAGAGGGUGACCGGCCACAUUGGGACUGAGACACGGCCCAGACUCCUACGGGAGGCAGCAGUGGGGAAUAUUGCACAAUGGGCGCAAGCCUGAUGCAGCAACGCCGCGUGAGGGAAGACGGCUUUCGGAUGUAAACCUUUGUCUUGGUGAAGAAGAAAGUGACGGUAGCCAAGGAGGAAGCCACGGCUAACUACGUG